CGAUGCUAAGAGUCUAAUUCAUUUAUUAGUUUAAAAAGGAAUUUCGACUGGACAACAUUUCAUAACUUUUGGCAAUGAUGUUGGCCACUCACAAUCAGGAACCGUGAUCACACACCUGCCACCGGAUGCAUACUAAUCUUUGUGAACUGCAAUUCAUGAAUCCACGGUUGGGUAUCCUAUGACACACCCUUUCGGGUUUUGUCUUGGUACGUACUACGAUUUUAGUCGUUACAGAAGUAUUACCUGCUGUGAGCUUCUUCUUUGAUUAUGAUGUUGAGGUGGAGCUUGAUUCCAGAGGGGUUAUCUAUGUGCUUGGUGAUGAAGCUAUGGAGCAGUGAAGUUGGCUGCUGGAAAAUUCUGAAUUUUUGAAGAUGAUUUUGGUGCAGAAAGUUGAAGCUGAUGUGGAUUAUUUUUGUAGCCUUAAAGUGAUUACAAACUUAACCAUUUUGUAAUGUUUUUGGUUAGAUUACAACCAAACCAAAAUUGUAGUAGUUGUGUUUGGUGUACUUUGAUAAUUAAAGUUUGGUUAGUUUGUAAGAAAUUGUAUCAGUAAGCUUAUUUUAAGCUGCUGUUGUACAUGAAUUUAGUGGAACUAAGGUAAAUAUAAAUGUAUGACAAAGAAUAGAACAUGUAGACUUUUCACAGCCAAAAACGUCUUCCGUUCCAGCUCUCUGUUUUUUCCCUUUUCUCUCCUCUGUUUUUGUAUUUUUUCAUGUUUUCUUUGCAUACAAAUCUCCAUUAAAAAUCUAACACUUGGCAGGUCCACGGUGUAUCUAGCUUUCAGUCCCACAAAUGGUGCAGAUCAAGUAGCUAUUUUUGGAAACAUACAACAAAAGAAGCCAGAGGUGGUGCAUGACGGCGUCGCAGAAAGGGGGCGGGUUUGCUCUGAGGGGUUGGUAGUAGGCCAAUUACCCGACUAAUUAAAGAUCAUCUUCUUCAAACUGGUCAUGUCGCUUGUUGAUUAGCGCAUGAGAGAUUUGGAUACAAAGAGCAUUAAGAUAGUAUUGUCACAAGCCGACAAGUGCAAGUGCAGCAAGAGCUGUUGUAGCGAAACAGUGUGAACGCCAGUCCAGGCCAGGUUCAAGCAAGAGUGUAACAACAAUGUGAGGCGUCCAACCCAUUAUCCCAUAGCCAUAACAAGGGAGUUCGGGCCAAGGGAUCCAACAACCAAAGUUCCAGAUUAUUCUACAAUAUUCCAGCAAGUGAGCCAAGGGAGUGCAAGGGUGUGACAGCCACUUGUAUAUGAAUCUUUAUAUUUAUCAUCUUGGAUACGCAGCUGGCUAAGGGUGUUAGGGAAGGGAAAAUCCAUUGUAUGUAAAGUAGAUUUUUAGGCAUUGUGUAGUUGAGUAGUAGGAACUACAUUUAUUUUUGUGUGCCUAUAUAAAAGUCUCUUUGUACAGAUUUUAUUCAAGCAAUCUUCAAGUAAAACACUUAUUUUUUCCAGCA